GGCCAUUGAAAAAAUUAAGCUACACUGGAGAGGGGGGAAUUUGGAAAAGGCUCUGGAUAGAGCCGAAGCAAAGUGGAUAUUCCAGCUGGACACUCUAGAACCAAAAGGUCUGAACUUGGAUUUUGAGCUGAAUGCUUUUCUAUGAGAAUUUUUUAUGAGAAUCUUUUAUGAGAGAGUUCUAUCAAUUAGGACUCUUUUUUUAAGUUAGCC